UUAAUCAUACCAAAUUAUUCCUAGGAAAAGCAACAACCACAGUCUGAAUUUACAUUGAAACUUGGUCCGCACUGUACGUGAUUUAUUUACCGCAGGAACAGAGACAACAAGCACCACCCUGAGAUAUGGACUCCUGCUUCUCCUGAAACACCCUGAGGUAGCAGAAAAACUUCAUGAAGAAAUUGAUCGUGUGAUUGGUCGAGAUCGAAGUCCCUGCAUGGAGGACAGAAGUAAGAUGCCUUACACCAAUGCUGUGAUACAUGAGAUACAGCGAUACAUUGACCUCGUUCCCAGCAACCUGCCCCAUGCAGUGUCAGAAGAUAUUCAGUUUAGACAAUAUCUUAUCCCCAAGGGAACCACCAUCAUACCAUUACUGUCUUCUGUUUUGUAUGAUGAUGAAGAGUUCCCUAAUCCAGACCAGUUUGACCCAGGUCACUUCCUGGACUGAAGUGGCAACUUUAAGAAAAGCGACUAUUUCAUGCCUUUUUCAACAGGAAAACGGAUAUGUGCUGGUGAGAGUCUGGCUCGGAUGGAAUUAUUUCUGUUUUUUACUACCAUCUUACAAAAUUUUACCUUGAAAUCUCCCAUUGACUCAAAAGAUAUUGACAUCACCCCAGUUGCCAGUGGAUUAAUCAACGUACCCCCCUCCUAUGAGCUCUGCUUUCUACCUUCCUACAACAUGUGAAAGACCAGCCCUAGUUUCAACUGCUCUAGAGUCUCCUCAUGUUCUAUGAACAAGAUGUAUUCAUUUCAUUGCCUGCCAAUGAAAGCCCUCUAUGAUUUCCACCCAAUAUACUCUUCUAGCAUAAUCUAAUACUCCCUUUGACUUUUGCCAAAAUCAUGAUUUAAUUUCCCUCAAACUGCCCUAGAAAUUCCCUGUUGCUGGAAUAUUUCUUCUUUUUUCUUCAUUUCAACUCCACUGACUGAAAUCUUACCCACCCUUCAAAUCACAAUUUAGGUGCCAUAUCCCUGUGACCCCUUUAGUUCUUACAGUCUGUAUUAUUCAAUUUAAGCCUGAAUUAUAUAUGCAUCUUAUGUUGUGUGUUCUUUCAGAA